UACAGGAGGGUGCAAGCGUUAAUCGGAAUUACUGGGCGUAAAGCGUGCGUAGACGGUUAUGUAAGUCGGGUGUGAAAGCCCCGGGCUCAACCUGGGGAAUUGCAUUCGAGACUGCAUAGCUAGGAUGCGGAAGAGGGAAGUGGAAUUUCCGGUGUAGCGGUGAAAUGCGUAGAUAUCGGAAGGAACACCAGUGGCGAAAGCGGCUUCCUGGUCCAGCACCGACGUCAGGCACGAAAGCGUGGGGAGCAAACAGG
rnacentral:rRNA from 1 species